rfam:Parcubacteria (Moranbacteria) bacterium GW2011_GWE2_47_10 TX75_C0055, whole genome shotgun sequence.
GCCACCUUAGCUCAGUUGGUAGAGCGAUACACUCGUAACGUAUAGGUCGCCAGUUCGAUCCUGGCAGGUGGCU